rnacentral:rRNA from 1 species
GACGAACGCUGGCGGCGUGCUUAACACAUGCAAGUCGAACGGAAAGGCCCUUCGGGGUACUCGAGCGGCGAACGGGUGAGUAACACGUGAGUAAUCUGCCCUGUGCUUCGGGAUAGCCACCGGAAACGGUGAUUAAUACCGGAUAUGACCACUUCCUGCAUGGGAGGGUGGUGGAAAGUUUUUCGGCGCAGGAUGUGCUCGCGGCCUAUCAGCUUGUUGGUGGGGUAAUGGCCUACCAAGGCUUCGACGGGUAGCCGGCCUGAGAGGGUGACCGGCCACACUGGGACUGAGACACGGCCCAGACUCCUACGGGAGGCAGCAGUGGGGAAUAUUGGACAAUGGGCGGAAGCCUGAUCCAGCAACGCCGCGUGAGGGAUGACGGCCUUCGGGUUGUAAACCUCUUUCAGUACCGACGAAGCGAGAGUGACGGUAGGUACAGAAGAAGCACCGGCCAACUACGUGCCAGCAGCCGCCGUAAAAC